rnacentral:lncRNA from 1 species
CAAGGAGAAACUUCCCCAUUGCCAUGUGCAGGUCAGUGACUGGUUCUAUCAACAAAUCAAUCAAAUAGGCAGCAUUUGACUUUUAGGAACUGGCACCAUAGUGAGGAUUUCUGUGGGGAUUGUAUCCAGCCAAACCUGUACAGGGCACGUGGAAAAGGAUUCGUACUGGGACACAGUGUUCUCAGCUUCCAGUGCUUGUGGGUCUGAGAUCUUAGGGAAAUGAAACUUGCAUGAGUUAUACUCGACAAGAAAGUGUAAAAUGGGGGUAUCCUGUGUGAGCAUUUUGCAUUCCUCAAGGCUGAAAUUAUUAAGUUCUGUAUGUAGCAAACUUUUUCUGCAUUGUGAAGACCUUAAGGCAGGAUGGUGAUGUGCAGCCUUUGUGCCACUGUUUGCCCACUUGUGUCCAUAGUGGCAACUAAUCAUCCAUGCUGAAGUUACAGUUAAGCCCAGCCACAAAGCCCUCUUGGUUUAACAUUCCAGGCAUUCUAUGGGCAUUAGUAUGUGAAAUGAAACCUAUUUGCCUAGAUUAGGGAGCUCCAGUUCAGAGCUUCCCCAGAGGGUUACCCUAAGAAAGCUGCAUUUAGGACAGGAUCCCUUAACUGAAACCUAGCUUGCCCUGGGGAAGAAACCAAACCCUGGAGUGGUUUAAAAACUAACCCAGGCUUCCAGGAAAUGUCCAAAUAAGCAAUGCUGAAGGUCCUGGUUUCAUCUUAGUUUGUAUCAAUCAUAAAUAUGGAUUUAUUUCUGGAAAAGAAAAAUGUCAACCUAAUCUUUGUUCUGUUCUCACUGUCUCAUCUUAGACUGUUCAAUAAUGGAGUUUAUAAUGUUUGCUUUAGUGAGAAAAAUGAUUCUUUGUGACUAGUACUACCAUUCAGUAAUUAAAUGAAAAUUACUUUAAGUGUUUUCCUCUUCUCUGAAAGUAAUUGAAUUCACACAAGCAGGAAUGAUAGAAGGAGAAAUUAUGAUAUGUAUAAAGCAUUUCUGUUGAGGUAACAACAUUCAUUCCACACGUUCUUAUUAAGUGCCAGGCACUAUUUUAGCUGAAGGUCAACAGAGAAGAACAGCUCACGGGUCCUGUUUUGGAAGGGAUGAAGAGUGACACAUGACAAGUAGGUGCAGCUGAAGACUGUGGAGAAGAGUUGCAUGGAAUAUACUUUCCCCUGUGCACGUUGUGACCUGGUUUGAUGCUGUGUGGAACCCUUUUGACAAUUUCUGGAUCAAAUUUGCUUUUUAACUCUGGUUUGGGCUUUUGGCAUGCACUGUAUUCUUCUUCAAGAUUCACAUACUCAGAUCAUACAAUGGCCUGGUUUUGUUAAUGUUAUGAUUUGGAUGUGAGCUGUCCCCCAAAAGUUCUCAUGUGAGACAGUGCUGGAAGGUUCAGAAGAGAAAUGAUUGGAUUGUAAGAGUCUUAACUCAAUCAGUGAAUUAAUCCACUGAUAGAGAUUAACUGAAGUGUAGGGUGUGACUGGAGGAGGUGGGAAUUGGGGCAUGGCUUUGCAUAUAUAUUUGUAUCUGGCAAGUGAAUUCUUUGUUUUCUGAUUCCCUCCACCACCCUCUCCCUCCCUCAUGUUCAACCUUGCCUCCAGCCCAAAAGAAUGGAGCUGGCCUACUAUGGACUGAGACCUCUGAAACUGUGAGCCCUCAAA